CCUACGGGUGGCAGCAGUGGGGAAUAUUGCACAAUGGGGGAAACCCUGAUGCAGCAACGCCGCGUGAGUGAUGACGGCCUUCGGGUUGUAAAGCUCUGUCUUCAGGGACGAUAAUGACGGUACCUGAGGAGGAAGCCACGGCUAACUACGUGCCAGCAGCCGCGGUAAUACGUAGGUGGCGAGCGUUGUCCGGAUUUACUGGGCGUAAAGGGGGCGUAGGCGGAGUUUUAAGUGAGGUGUGAAAUACUCGGGCUCAACUUGGGGGCUGCAUUUCAAACUGGAAGUCUAGAGUGCAGGAGAGGAGAAUGGAAUUCCUAGUGUAGCGGUGAAAUGCGUAGAGAUUAGGAAGAACACCAGUGGCGAAGGCGGUCUGCUGGACAGCAACUGACGCUGAGGCGCGAAAGCGUGGGGAGCAAACAGGAUUAGAUACCCGAGUAGUC
rnacentral:rRNA from 1 species